GUGGAUCUGGAUUGAAAACCAGGAACGACCGACGACGACCAGCGACCGCGGACCAGCCAGAGCGUGCGGGGUAAUAACGUCAGGGGACUGGAGAACGCCGAUCACGAGGUUCAUCAUGGCAGGCGAAGCGCCGACAGACCCAAUGGAGGCCAGGAAGCUAAGGAACAGGGCGGCCUGGUUUAUAGUGGCCCAGGACAAGCUGUACCGACGGUCGGCAGCAGAGGAGGCCCCCCUGCGACUAUGCGUCCCACGUGAGGAGGGGAAGGCCAUCGCACGAAGCCUACACGAGGGGGCAAGCGGAGCGCACCAAGGCGGC
rnacentral:lncRNA from 1 species